rnacentral:rRNA from 1 species
AUAUCAAUAAGCGGAGGAAAAGAAACCAACAGGGAUUGCCCUAGUAACGGCGAGUGAAGCGGCAACAGCUCAAAUUUGAAAUCUGGCUUCGGCCCGAGUUGUAAUUUGCAGAGGAAGCUUUGGGCGCGGCACCGACCGAGUCCCCUGGAACGGGGCGCCAUAGAGGGUGAGAGCCCCGUAUGGUCGGACGCCUAGCCUGUGUAAAGCUCCUUCGACGAGUCGAGUAGUUUGGGAAUGCUGCUCAAAAUGGGAGGUAAAUUUCUUCUAAAGCUAAAUACCGGCCAGAGACCGAUAGCGCACAAGUAGAGUGAUCGAAAGAUGAAAAGCACUUUGAAAAGAGGGUUAAAUAGCACGUGAAAUUGUUGAAAGGGAAGCGCUUGUGACCAGACUUGAGCGCGGCGGUUCCCCUGGCCUUUUGGCCAGGCUACUCCGUCGUGUCCAGGCCAACAUCGGUUCUGAGGGUCGGUCAAAGGCUCUGGGAAUGUAUCUACCCACGGGUAGACUUAUAGACCAGGGUGUCAUGCGGCCUCUCGGGACCGAGGAACGCGCUUCGGCUCGGAUGUUGGCGUAAUGGUUGUCAGCGA